rfam:Brachypodium distachyon strain Bd21 chromosome 5, whole genome shotgun sequence.
AUUGUACUCCCUCUGUCCAACAAAGGAUGUCUUAAUUUUGACUAAAUUUAGAUGCAUCUAUACACUAAAUACCAUCAUAUUUUGACAAACUUGAGACAUCUUUUGUUGGACGGAGGGAGUAUCAA